rnacentral:rRNA from 1 species
AUUGAACGCUGGCGGCAGGCCUAACACAUGCAAGUCGAACGGUAACAGGAAACAGCUUGCUGUUUCGCUGACGAGUGGCGGACGGGUGAGUAAGGUCUGGGAAACUGCCUGAUGGAGGGGGACAACUACUGGAAACGGUAGCUAAUACCGCAUAAAGUCGCAAGACCAAAAAGGGGUACCUUCGGGCCUCUUGCCAUCAGAGAUACCCAGAUGGGAGUAGCUGGUAGGCGGGGUAACGGAUCACCUAGGCGAUGAUCCCUAACUGGUCUGAGAGGAUGACCAGCCACACGGGAACGGAGACACGGUCCAGACUCCUACGGGAGGCAGCAGUGGGGAAUAUUGCAGAAUGGGCGCAAGCCUGAUGCAGCCAUGCCGCGUGUGUGAAGAAGGCCUUCGGGUUGUAAAGCACUUUCAGCGGGGAGGAAGGAGAUGAGGUUAAUAACCUCAUCGAUUGACGUUACCCGCAGAAGAAGCACCGGCUAACUCCGUGCCAGCAGCCGCGUAA